GAUAGAUGUCUAGGAGUAGCUUCGUCUUAUAGACGGGGUAUUCUUCUUCUACCUCUUCCUGUGAUGUAAGGAAUAAACAGAUUCACACCC